ACCUGGUUGAUCCUGCCAGUAGUCAUAUGCUUGUCUCAAAGAUUAAGCCAUGCAUGUCUAAGAGUAACCCCAGUAAGGGGAAGUCUGCGAAUGGCUCAUUAAAUCAGUUAUAGUCUAUUUGGAUGUGGGCUUGCUACACGGAUAACUGUGGCAAUUCUAGAGCUAAUACGUGCUAAAUCCUCAACUUCGCGGAAGAGGUGUAUGUGUUAGAUAUUCAACUGGCUCGCUAGUUGAUUCAUAACAGCCUUAACUGACCGCAUAGCCUUGCGCUGGCGGCGUCGCAUUCGAAUUUCUGAUCUAUCAACUUGAAGGUAGGAUAGGGGCCUACCUUGGUUGUAACGGAUAACGGGGAAUUAGGGUUCGGUUCCGGAGAGGGCGCCUGAGAGAUGGCGACCACUUCCAAGGAAGGCAGCAGGCGCGCAAAUUACCCAAUGCUAAUACAGCGAGGUAGCGACAAUAAAUAACAAUGUCGGGGUCUUAAAGCCUCGGCAAUUGGAAUGAGCACAAUUUAAAUCCCUUAGCGAGGAACAACUAGAGGACAAGUCCGGUGCCAGCACCCGCGGUAAUUCCGGCUCUAGUAGCGUAUAUUAAAGUUGUUGCAGUUAAAAAGCUCGUAGUCUGACUUCGGGCUGGAUUGUGAAGGCUUACCGCAAGGUAGGACGGAUAAUCUGGCCUUAUCCUCUGAUGUGCUCUCUGCUCUUAACUGAGCGGAUCUGUCGCACAGGGGCGUUUACCCUGAGCAAAUUGAGGUGUUCAAGGCAGGCAUAUAUGCUCGAACAAUGUAGCAUGGGAUAAUAGAAUAAGGCUUAGACUUGCUUUUGCUGGUUGGUGAGUCUAGGCAAUGAUCAACAGGGGCGGUCGGGGUGCUUCAUAUGCAGGCGCUAGAGGUGAAAUUCUUGGACCGUCUGCAGAUGCCCAGACGCGAAAGCGUUGCACUAGUACGUCCCCAUUGAUCAAGAACGAAAGUUAAGGGAGCGAAGACGAUCAGAUACCGUCGUAGUCUUAACCCUAAACGAUACCGACCAGGGAUCGAGGACAGUCCCAUGGUUGACUCCUUCGGAACCUUGUGGGAAACCACGAGUCUUUGGGUUCUGGGGGGAAUAUGGUCGCAAGGCUGAAACUUAAAGGAAUUGACGGAAGGGCACACCAGGAGUGGAGCCUGCGGCUUAAUUUGACUCAACACGGGGAAACUCACUCGGUCAGGACAUAGUAAGGAUUGACAGGUUGACGGUCCUUUCUUGAUUCUAUGGGUGGUGGUGCAUGGUCGUUCUUAGUUCGUGGAGUGAUCUGUCUGGUUAAUUCCGCUAACGGACGAGACCUCUCCUUAUUAACUAGUGCGGCUCGCGGCCGUAAGGGUGAAGUGGUGGAGCUGGUUGGUGCUUAGGUGCUGACUGCUUAGCCAUGGAACCUGGCGUGCGGGUUGUUUACUUCUUAGGGGUACAAUCUGCGUUUUAGCAGAGGGGAGCUAGAGGCAAUAACAGGUCUGUGAUGCCCUUAGAUGUUCGAGGCUGCACGCGCGCUACAAUGGUAUGGUCAGCGAGUUCCUGGCUCGAAAGGGUUGGGGAAUCACAUGAAUCCAUAUCGUGCUGGGGAUAGAUGAUUGCAAUUAUUCGUCUUCAACGAGGAAUUCCUAGUAAGUGCACUUCAUCAGAGUGCGCUGAUUGCGUCCCUGCCCUUUGUACACACCGCCCGUCGCUCCUACCGAUUGAACGGUCCGGUGAAAUCUACGGAUAUUGGGAUUAUAGGGGCAACCCUGAAUCUCGAUAGAAGUUGAGUAAACCUUACUGUUUAGAGGAAGGAGAAGUCGUAACAAGGUUUCCGUAGGUGAACCAGCGGAAG
rnacentral:rRNA from 1 species